rnacentral:rRNA from 1 species
AGGCCUUGACAUGCAGAGAACUUUCCAGAGAUGGAUUGGUGCCUUCGGGAACUCUGACACGAGGUGCUGCAUGGCUGUCGUCAGCUCGUGUCGUGAGAUAUUGGGUUAAGUCCCGUAACGAGCGCAACCCUUGUCCUUAGUUACCAGCACGUUAUGGUGGGCACUCUAAGGAGACUGCCGGUGACAAACCGGAGGAAGGUGGGGAUGACGUCAAGUCAUCAUGGCCCUUACGGCCUGGGCUACACACGUGCUACAAUGGUCGGUACAAAGGGUUGCCAAGCCGCGAGGUGGAGCUAAUCCCAUAAAACCGAUCGUAGUCCGGAUCGCAGUCUGCAACUCGACUGCGUGAAGUCGGAAUCGCUAGUAAUCGUGAAUCAGAGUGUCACGGUGAAUACGUUCCCGGGCCUU